rnacentral:rRNA from 1 species
AGAGUUUGAUCAUGGCUCAGAUUGAACGCUGGCGGCAGGCCCAACACAUGCAAGUCGAACGGUAACAGGAAGAAGCUUGCUUCUUUGCUGACGAGUGGCGGACGGGUGAGUAAUGUCUGGGAAACUGCCUGAUGGAGGGGGAUAACUACUGGAAACGGUAGCUAAUACCGCAUAACGUCGCAAGACCAAAGAGGGGGACCUUCGGGCCUCUUGCCAUCGGAUGUGCCCAGAUGGGAUUAGCUAGUAGGUGGGGUAACGGCUCACCUAGGCGACGAUCCCUAGCUGGUCUGAGAGGAUGACCAGCCACACUGGAACUGAGACACGGUCCAGACUCCUACGGGAGGCAGCAGUGGGGAAUAUUGCACAAUGGGCGCAAGCCUGAUGCAGCCAUGCCGCGUGUAUGAAGAAGGCCUUCGGGUUGUAAAGUACUUUCAGCGGGGAGGAAGGGAGUAAAGUUAAUACCUUUGCUCAUUGACGUUACCCGCAGAAGAAGCACCGGCUAACUCCGUGCCAGCAGCCGCGGUAAUACGGAGGGUGCAAGCGUUAAUCGGAAUUACUGGGCGUAAAGCGCACGCAGGCGGUUUGUUAAGUCAGAUGUGAAAUCCCCGGGCUCAACCUGGGAACUGCAUCUGAUACUGGCAAGCUUGAGUCUCGUAGAGGGGGGUAGAAUUCCAGGUGUAGCGGUGAAAUGCGUAGAGAUCUGGAGGAAUACCGGUGGCGAAGGCGGCCCCCUGGACGAAGACUGACGCUCAGGUGCGAAAGCGUGGGGAGCAAACAGGAUUAGAUACCCUGGUAGUCCACGCCGUAAACGAUGUCGACUUGGAGGUUGUGCCCUUGAGGCGUGGCUUCCGGAGCUAACGCGUUAAGUCGACCGCCUGGGGAGUACGGCCGCAAGGUUAAAACCCAAAUGAAUUGACGGGGGCCCGCACAAGCGGUGGAGCAUGUGGUUUAAUUCGAUGCAACGUGAAGAACCUUACCUGGUCUUGACAUCCACGGAAGUUUUCAGAGAUGAGAAUGUGCCUUCGGGAACCGUGAGACAGGUGCUGCAUGGCUGUCGUCAGCUCGUGUUGUGAAAUGUUGGGUUAAGUCCCGCAACGAGCGCAACCCUUAUCCUUUGUUGCCAGCGGUCCGGCCGGGAACUCAAAGGAGACUGCCAGUGAUAAACUGGAGGAAGGUGGGGAUGACGUCAAGUCAUCAUGGCCCUUGCGACCAGGGCUACACACGUGCUACAAUGGCGCAUACAAAGAGAAGCGACCUCGGGAGAGCAAGCGGACCUCAUAAAGUGCGUCGUAGUCCGGAUUGGAGUCUGCAACUCGACUCCAUGAAGUCGGAAUCGCUAGUAAUCGUGGAUCAGAAUGCCACGGUGAAUACGUUCCCGGGCCUUGUACACACCGCCCGUCACACCAUGGGAGUGGGUUGCAAAAGAAGUAGGUAGCUUAACCUUCGGGAGGGCGCUUACCACUUUGUGAUUCAUGACUGGGGUGAAGUCGAAACAAGGUA